rnacentral:lncRNA from 1 species
CAGAGGAGAGGCGUUUCCGUGCAGGGCGUCUCCCUUGGGGCGGGACUUCCGGCGUUUUCCUGGAGAUCUUUUCGGCGGCCCUCGGGCGGGUUCUGUCAGUCUGGUGUGCUGCGCUGGAACCUGAGUGACAGGCGACCAGGCGCUGCAGACUGUGACGCCGCUGAGAGCGGCAGCGCGCGGUCGCCGCCCCGGUGCCCCGCCAGGAGAGUAGGAUGGAGGCGGCCGCGCCGAGGGGCCCGGCCGGGUCUCUGUCCUGCCAGGGCAGGUGACCUUUCAAGAUGUGGCUGUGUACUUCUCUUGGGAGGAAUGGGAUCUUCUUGAUGAGGCUCAGAGACACCUGCACCUUGAGGUGAUGCUGGAGAACUUGGCACUUAUAUCCUCACUGGGUAAGUCCCUGGUAUCCACUGUUGUGGCCUGGGCUGCACUGCCUUUCUCCUUUUCCUUGGGAGCCGCUCUGUUCUCCUCUGAUCUCAUCCCCAGUUCCCUGGGCAGGUGCUGGGACUGAGUGCUUGCCUUCUUCCCUCCCCUUGUGGCCAUAAUUCCUGCUGCCCCAGAGCAUCAUGGACAAGGAUCAGUAGUCUCAAGUGACCCUAUCAGAUCCCACCUACUUGUCUUCUUCCUGUYUGGUGACUCUCUAGGUCCAUGCACGUUCUUUUCCUUUCUUAUAUCUGACGUUCAUCAGUGUUUAGUGUGCCAUGAAAUAUAGUCACUGACAUCAGUACUUAUUUAGCCUAUUUUUACAAGAACUUCCCCAAGGUGUUAUUUAUUUAUUUGAAUUGUGGUGAAAUAUAUAUGAUAUUUUAUCAUUUUAACUGUACAUUUCAUUGGUUUUAAAUACUUAAAAUUCACAUUAUUAUGUGACUAUCGCUACCUUUCUUCCAUAGAACUUUUUCAUCUUGCAAAGCUAAAACUCUAGUCACUAAGCAAUAAUUCCCUUCAUCUCUUACAAAGCACCAUUCUGCUUUCUUUCUGUGAAUUUGACCACUCUAAGUGUCUCAGGUGAGUAGAAUCAUAAAGUAUUUGUUCUUGUGUGGUAGGUUUUUCAAGGUCCAAGCCUGAAUUUCCUUUCAAGACUGAAUAGCAUUCCCUUGCAUGAUGUCCUACAUGUUGUUUAUCCAUCUGUCCACCUGUGUGUACUUGGAGCUACUGUGAAUAAUGCUUCAAUGAACACGAGUCUACAGAUACCUUUUCAUGUACUUGCUUUUAAUUCUGUGGACACAUAACCAGAGGUGGAAUUGCUGGAUCAUGUACUAAUUCUGUUUUUUAAGGCACAACCGUACUGUUUUUGUUGCAUCUACCAUCCUCUUUCCUUAGCCUCCCC